rnacentral:rRNA from 1 species
UACGUAGGUGGCAAGCGUUGUUCGGAUUCACUGGGCGUAAAGGGUGCGUAGGCGGUCGGGUAAGUCUGAUGUGAAAUCUCACAGCUUAACUGUGAAACUGCAUUGGAUACUAUCCGGCUAGAGGAAUGGAGGGGAGACUGGAAUACUUGGUGUAGCAGUGAAAUGCGUAGAUAUCAAGUGGAACACCAGUGGCGAAGGCGAGUCUCUGGACAUUUCCUGACGCUGAGGCACGAAAGCCAGGGGAGCAAACGGG